AAGCAGAGGGGGCUUAGUGGUGGGGUGACUGCGUACCUUUUGUAUAAUGGGUCAGCGACUUAUAUUCUGUAGCAAGGUUAACCGAAUAGGGGAGCCGGAGGGAAACCGAGUCUUAACCGGGCGUUAAGUUGCAGGGUAUAGACCCGAAACCCGGUGAUCUAGCCAUGGGCAGGUUGAAGGUUGGGUAACACUAACUGGAGGACCGAACCGACUAAUGUUGAAAAAUUAGCGGAUGACCUGUGGCUGGGGGUGAAAGGCCAAUCAAACCGGGAGAUAGCUGGUUCUCCCCGAAAGCUAUUUAGGUAGCGCCUCGUGAAUUCAUCUUCGGGGGUAGAGCACUGUUUCGGCUAGGGGGUCAUCCCGACUUACCAACCCGAUGCAAACUGCGAAUACCGAAGAAUGUUAUCACGGGAGACACACGGCGGGUGCUAACGUCCGUCGUGAAGAGGGAAACAACCCAGACCGCCAGCUAAGGUCCCAAAGUCAUGGUUAAGUGGGAAACGAUGUGGGAAGGCCCAGACAGCCAGGAUGUUGGCUUAGAAGCAGCCAUCAUUUAAAGAAAGCGUAAUAGCUCACUGGUCGAGUCGGCCUGCGCGGAAGAUGUAACGGGGCUAAACCAUGCACCGAAGCUGCGGCAGCGACACUCAGGUGUUGUUGGGUAGGGGAGCGUUCUGUAAGCCUGUGAAGGUGUGUCGUGAGGCAUGCUGGAGGUAUCAGAAGUGCGAAUGCUGACAUAAGUAACGAUAAAGCGGGUGAAAAGCCCGCUCGCCGGAAGACCAAGGGUUCCUGUCCAACGUUAAUCGGGGCAGGGUGAGUCGACCCCUAAGGCGAGGCCGAAAGGCGUAGUCGAUGGGAAACGGGUUAAUAUUCCCGUACUUGGUGUUACUGCGAAGGGGGGACGGAGAAGGCUAUGUUGGCCGGGCGACGGUUGUCCCGGUUUAAGCGUGUAGGUGUGUGUUCCAGGUAAAUCCGGUUCACUUUAACACUGAGGCGUGAUGACGAGGCACUACGGUGCUGAAGCAACAAAUGCCCUGCUUCCAGGAAAAGCCUCUAAGCAUCAGGUAACAU
rnacentral:rRNA from 1 species